UGCGUGCUGGCUCCAGGAGCGGACACUGGGGGAGCUGUGUGGAUCACACAUGGCAGAGAGGUGAGGCUGGAAAGGCUCUCGAGAUCAGUCGGCAGGCUGGUUGCAAGUAGACGCAUGUCAGCUAUGGACAUUCAGGAUCUAUGCAAACACAUGCAUUUCCGUGAGGGGUUUCAGCUGGAGACACACAUGCUGCUGCUCUGGUUACAGCCAAUGAGAAUCUCUUAAGCUCUAAGUGAUGCAAGGGCUACAAAUCCAUGUCAUUGACAAUGAACAGUAGCACCAGAGCCUUGAAAUCCAGACUAGAGAUCCUGCUCACCAUAAGAAUGAAGGAGAAACAACACAGACUGACUCAGAGUGCAUUGUAAAGUCUGUAUAAAUAGCUCUUCUCCCAAACUCCCUGGAUACUCACCUCAGCCAAUAAAUUGCU